CUACGGGGGGCUGCAGUGAGGAAUAUUGCACAAUGGAGGAAACUCUGAUGCAGCAACGCCGCGUGGAGGAUGACGCAUUUCGGUGUGUAAACUCCUUUUAUAUGUCAAGAAAAUGACGGUAGCAUAUGAAUAAGCACCGGCUAACUCCGUGCCAGCAGCCGCGGUAAUACGGAUGGUGCAAGCGUUACUCGGAAUCACUGGGCGUAAAGGACGCGUAGGCGGGUUGGAAAGUCAGGUGUGAAAUCCUACAGCUUAACUGUAGAACUGCACUUGAAACUUCUAAUCUAGAGUAUGGGAGGGGGAGAUGGAAUUAGUGGUGUAGGGGUAAAAUCCGUAGAUAUCACUAGGAAUACCUAAAGCGAAGGCGAUCUCCUGGAACAUUACUGACGCUAAGGCGUGAAAGCGUGGGGAGCAAACAGGAUUAGAUACCCUGGUAGUC
rnacentral:rRNA from 1 species